UACGGAGGAUGCGAGCGUUAUCCGGAUUUAUUGGGUUUAAAGGGUGCGUAGGCGGGCCUUCAGGCCGGCGGUAAAAUUGCGGGGCUCAACCCCGCCGAGCCGUCGGAACCGGGGGCCUUGAGUGGGCGAGAAGUAUGCGGAAUGCGUGGUGUAGCGGUGAAAUGCAUAGAUAUCACGCAGAACCCCGAUUGCGAAGGCAGCAUACCGGCGCUCAACUGACGCUGAGGCACGAAAGUGCGGGUAUCGAACAGG
rnacentral:rRNA from 1 species